UGGGGAUACAAAAGGCACCUCUCCCUGUACCUGAGGACCAAUCAACAGGUGAGCCCCAGGUGGGUGGAGCCCUGCUGGAGGUACAGAGCAAGGAUAGGGGAAAGGCAGUGGAGGAACUGGGGAGCUCUGGGUACCCAGAAUCCUCGAGGUCUCAUCUUGACACCUGGGCAGUGAGAUGUUUCCUCGAUGGGUGCAGUUUCGUACCAGGACAGUGGGCAGCUCAGCAGGGGCCACCAUAGCCCAUCCCAAAAGCCACUGAAGCUUUUUUCGGGCCCCACUCUGCAGGGGGAUGGGAUAGGCAAGGCUGUGGUAAUGUCUCCUCUAUUGCCUAGACUGUUAGUGUAGAGUCUGGAGGGCUCCCGUGGGAUUCUCUGGGGAAGGGACCAGGGGAAUAUCACAGAAGCAGCCUUACACCAGGUCAAUUAGGUCCUAUCAGGUCAGCUUGUCUGGGGCCCCAGGUCUCAGUAAAAUCAUAGUCGUUAGCAGGAUGGGAAGAAGGCAGGACCAGCCAGGAUUCCAGUGGAGGGCUGACUUAUUCCUUCAGUUGACCCCCUUGCUGCCCAGGCUCUGGGAGAAGAGAAGCGGGGUAACAAAACACCCCCAAGCAGCUUUAAUACCAAGGGAGGGAGGGGCCCCAGUGGGUAUGAGAGUGUCAGGCCCUGGGCUGCAGGAUGCCAGACCCUGCAUUCAUAAGGCAAACAGCAUGUCAUCGUCCUUCUCCUGGGUCUUCCUCCGAGGGGCUGUUCCAGGAGAUGGUCUGGGGGGUCCCUCGGCUGAAGGGCUGGCCAGGUUGGGAAGUCGAUCAGCAGCUUUGGCUCGUUCUUCCAGAAAUUUGUCAAAUUCUUCACUGGUGACACCAGAGGGCUCCUCAGCACUGUUCCCCACAUCUGUGGACAGCCACUGCUCAAUGUCCUCCAUGAUGCGGGCCUGAGUGGCUGGGAUCGCUCCGGUGCUCUGCUGCCGGGCAUCUAGGGCCCCAGCCAGGCCAUCUGUGGUUUGGGGAGCUUCAUAUUUGACCCCUUUCCGUUGGUCAGCCAGUGAGCUGCCCCGAGUCAGAGCAAACAUGUCAAAGUCAUCUUCCAGGUGACCUGAGGUCUCCAGAGACUGCAGGCCAGCUCUCACACUUCUGGAGCCAAGGUUCAUUCCUGCCAGUUGAGAUGAGAGGUUGUUUGUGGCUGCGGGGUCAGGACCCAUGUCAAUCAGGUCAGUAGCUAGCUCAGCUUCACUGGAGGCCUUAGCAGUCUGGCCUGUUCGGAAGCGUUCAAACCGUUCAUGGCGCAGAAACACGUUGUUGAGGUUGUCGUUGAUCAUGAGCAGCUCCUCCGUCAGCUGCUCAUUGGAGAUGCGUGGGAUAAGCUCCAGGAUCCGCUGCUGCAUGGCACGGCAGGUGCGGUUCAGUUCCUGUAGUAGCUCCAGGUCUGCAGGCUCUACCUGGGUGGGCACCAGCUCUGUCAGCAUCUCUGACAUCACUCGCACGUUUCCGCUCACCAUCUCCAGCUCACUGCGCAGCUUCCCAAUCUGCUCAGGAGUCGGUGUGAUGGAAGUCAAGAGCUCCAGCUUGGAUGGGAAACAUUUCAGGCUGACCUGGACCUUGGAGCUUCACCUGCCACUGCUUCUCAAGAGUUUGGAUUACAGUCAUACUCCACCAUGUCUUUUUUAA
rnacentral:lncRNA from 1 species